GAGAAAAGAAUCUUUUUAUCAUUUUCAUUAGAUGAUGCAUUCCAUUGGUACACACAAAUUUUAAAUUAGUUAUCAAAUAUAUCUGCCCUUCUUCCAUAAGCAUGUGAAACUCUUGCAAAAUAUUUUUCAGAUUACAUCAUUAACCCGACAAAUACGGUCCUCCUCAAUACAGGUAUAACAAUCAAUAAUAAAUUACUGAAAUAAUUUGC
rnacentral:lncRNA from 1 species